rnacentral:rRNA from 1 species
GCGCAGCAGGCGCGAAACUUCACAAUGUGCGAAAGCACGAUGAGGGAAUCCCAAGUGCUUGCACGUAAGUGUAAGCUGUUCUCUGUCUAAAACGCAGAGAGAGUAAGGGCUGGGUAAGACGGGUGCCAGCCGCCGCGGUAAUACCUGCAGCUCGAGUGGUGACCGUUAUUAUUGGGCCUAAAACGUCCGUAGCCGGUUUAAUAAAUGCCCUGGGUAAAUCGGACCGCUUAACGGUUCGAAUUCCGGGUAGACUGUUAAACUUGAGACCGGGAGAAGUUAGAGGUACUCCUGGGGUAGAGGUGAAAUUCUGUAAUCCUAGGGGGACCACCAGUGGCGAAGGCGUCUAACUAGAACGGGUCUGACGGUGAGGGACGAAGCCCCUGGGGCGCAAACGGGGAUUA